rnacentral:rRNA from 1 species
UACGGAGGGGGCGAGCGUUGUCCGGAAUCACUGGGCGUAAAGGGCGCGUAGGCGGCCUGAUAAGUAGGGGGUGAAAUCUUGCGGCUUAACCGCAAGGCUGCCUGCUAAACUGUCGGGCUCGAGCACAGUAGAGGCAGGUGGAAUUCCCGGUGUAGCGGUGGAAUGCGUAGAGAUCGGGAAGAACAUCAGUGGCGAAGGCGGCCUGCUGGGCUGUUGCUGACGCUGAGGCGCGACAGCGUGGGGAGCAAACAGG